rnacentral:rRNA from 1 species
GCCAAUGGGCGCAAGCCUGAUGCAGCCAUGCCGCGUGUGUGAAGAAGGCCUUAGGGUUGUAAAGCACUUUCAGCGAGGAGGAAGGCAUCAUACUUAAUACGUGUGGUGAUUGACGUUACUCGCAGAAGAAGCACCGGCUAACUCCGUGCCAGCAGCCGCGGUAAUAA